CACGAAGCGAUCAAUUAUAAUUAAAUUAACUCAUCAGGUGAGACAGAAGUUGAAUUUCGUGUUUGAAAUCAGAUAGGACAAUCUCCUAUCAUUUAUGAAGAAACCAGGGUUAUUUUGAAAAUAUAUCACUCAGAAAAACAACAGGCCUACAAUUCUGGCCAGUUAUCAAUGGAUUAGAGAAAUGAGCUU